GCACCAUUGUGAGCAAGCAAAACACGGCUGCGCAGUGUGCUUUCCUCUAGUAAGUUCAUGUUUACUUUUCCCUUUUUUUUGUAUUCUUGUUUUUAUUUCAUAUUUUGUUUAUUUUCAUUUCUUUUUUUUCAGAAAUUACAACUUUAAAUACCUGAAUAUGUCCAGGCGUCCGCAACAAAAUUUGUUGCUUAUUGAGAUAUAUUCUCAAUAAGUAGCAAAAACAGACAUUUUCGGCCGCCUGUGAAAAGAAUCCAAGCGAAGACGAUAACGGGACACUCAAUGGACGCUGAAAUAAGUUUAUUAAUUUCUAUUUAUUUUACUUUAUAGGUACAACUUAUUUAUCCCUUUUCAUUUUAGAUAUCUUGGCCGAUUAACUGACUGUGGGGAAAAACCCACGUUAAAAGCCGGGCAAUCCCUUUGGUGCAACGUUUAAUUUAAGCUGUACCUCUAGACCUGGACCAAAAGAAAACUACAUCUUGAUUUCCGACCUAUAUCAACCUUAGUGAUUUUAGGUGCGAUUUGUUUUCAAUAUAAAUGGUAAUUAUCCAUUAGACAAGUGAAAUUACGUAUACAUACAUAAAUAUCUAUACAUCUAACCAUCAACAUGCAUUUCCAGGUAUUUUUUUUUGACUGUUGGGACCCUACCUGCUGGAGAGACAUGGUGACCAAAGUUUGGGAUGCUGGGAGAAAUUGUAAAAUCAACCAGUUAACGAUUUGUACUUUCGCUUCAUCUCUAUCUGCCACCACUACGAACUUCUACGUUACAGCACCCAUACACCAUUCAAGUGAUUGUUGUUAAACAAAAAAAAUUAAAAAGAGGCUGGGAUGCGACCCACACUGAUAACUUCCCAUCCCGUCUAUCGAUUUGUCUUGCUUAAAAGUUUGUCUUUAUGUAUUUUUACCAAAUUUCCGCACUAUUUUUUGUAGAUUUUAUUUUUUAUGAAAAAACGGACUGUUGGAUUUUUAUAUACAAAUUACUGAAUAUUGAAAACAAUAUUUUCUCCGAAAUAAAAUAUGUUUGAAGCCAAUAUUUUUAAUUUUUGAAAAGCUAUUUGAGCCGAAAGUAAAUUUUUACCAAGUUUUAGUAUUUUUUUUUAGAGUUUUAUUUUUUGUAAAAAAACUGUCAAUUCGAAUUUUUUAAAAAUUGUACCAACUGUCGAAAACAAUAUUUCUUAUAAGAUAAAAUUAGUUUGAAGCCAAUAUUUAAAAUUUUUGAAGAGAUAUUUGAGUCGAAAAUCAAUUUUUACCAACUUUUAUACAUU